rnacentral:rRNA from 1 species
CGUUUGGGGUGCUCGAGUGGCGAACGGGUGAGUAACACGUGAGUAACCUGCCCUUUACUUUGGGAUAACUUCAGGAAACUGGGGCUAAUAUCGGAUAGGAGCUCCUGCUGCAUGGUGGGGGUUGGAAAGUUUCGGCGGUUGGGGAUGGACUCGCGGCUUAUCAGCUUGUUGGUGGGGUAGUGGCUUACCAAGGCUUUGACGGGUAGCCGGCCUGAGAGGGUGACCGGCCACAUUGGGACUGAGAUACGGCCCAG